ACAAACUUGGUCAUUUAGAGGAAGUAAAAGUCGUAACAAGGUUUCCGUAGGUGAACCUGCGGAAGGAUCAUUAUUGAAUAAACUUGGUGGGCUGUUGCUGGCUCUUUGGAGCAUGUGCACGCUCAAAACCAUUGUUUUUAUUUCUUUCCACCUGUGCACCUUGUGUAGAUUUGGACAAAUCUCGAGGCCAACUCGGUUUGAGGAGCUGUUGUGCUGCUUCUGGUGGCCAGCUCUCCUUGUAGUCCUGAUCUAUGAAUAUCACAUACUCUUUAGAAUGUCAUGAAUGUAAUCAAUUGGGUUUUCAUAUUGCCCUUUAAACUAUAAUACAACUUUCAACAACGGAUCUCUUGGCUCUCGCAUCGAUGAAGAACGCAGC
rnacentral:misc_RNA from 1 species